rnacentral:rRNA from 1 species
AUGCCUUACACAUGCAAGUCGAACGGCAGCACGGGGGUAACCUGGUGGCGAGUGGCGAACGGGUGAGUAAUACAUCGGAACGUGUCCUGGAGUGGGGGAUAGCUCGGCGAAAGCCGGAUUAAUACCGCAUAUUCUCUGAGGAGGAAAGCGGGGGACCGAAAGGCCUCGCGCUUCAGGGGCGGCCGAUGGCGGAUUAGCUAGUUGGUGGGGUAAAGGCCUACCAAGGCGACGAUCCGUAGCUGGUCUGAGAGGACGACCAGCCACACUGGGACUGAGACACGGCCCAGA